UUAGCCUACGGGACGCAGCAGUGGGGGAUAUUGCACAAUGGGGGAAACCCUGAUGCAGCGACGCCGCGUGUGGGAAGACGGUCUUCUGGAUUGUAAACCACUGUCCCCAGGGACGAAAAUGACGGUACCUGGGGAGGAAGCUCCGGCUAACUACGUGCCAGCAGCCGCGGUAAUACGUAGGGAGCAAGCGUUAUCCGGAUUUACUGGGUGUAAAGGGCGCGUAGGCGGGAUGGCAAGUCAGAUGUGAAAUCCCCGCGCUCAACGUGGGAACUGCCUUUGAAACUGGCAAACUGGAGUGUGUGAGG
rnacentral:rRNA from 1 species